UACGUAGGGGGCAAGCGUUGUCCGGAAUCAUUGGGCGUAAAGCGCGUGUAGGCGGUUCGGUAAGUCCGCUGUGAAAGUCGGGGGCUCAACCCUCGGAUGCCGGUGGAAACUGGCGAGCUUGAGUGCGGCAGAGGGGGGUGGAAUUCCGCGUGUAGCAGUGAAAUGCGUAGAGAUGCGGAGGAACACCGAUGGCGAAGGCAGCCCCCUGGGUCGACACUGACGCUCAGGCACGAAAGCGUGGGGAGCAAACAGG
rnacentral:rRNA from 1 species